rnacentral:rRNA from 1 species
AUUGAACGCUGGCGGCAGGCCUAACACAUGCAAGUCGAGCGAGUGGCGGACGGGUGAGUAAUGUCUGGGAAACUGCCUGAUGGCGGGGGAUAACUACUGGAAACGGUAGCUAAUACCGCAUACCAUCAGAUGAACCCAUAUGGGAUUAGCUAGUAGGUGGGGUAACGGCGCACCUAGGCGACGAUCCCUAGCUGGUCUGAGAGGAUGACCAGCCAAAAUGGAACUGAGACACGGCCCAGACUCCUACGGGAGGUAGCAGUGGGAAAUAUUGCACAAGGGGCGAAAGCCUGAUGCAGCCAUGCCGCGUGUAUGAAGAAGGCCUUCGGGUUGUAAAGUACUUUCAGAGGGGAGGCGUUACCUGCAGAAGAAGCACCGGCUAACUCCGUGCCAGCAGCCGCGGUAAUUC